UUUACUAAUUUUAAUAGGUUUUAGAGAUUAGGAACAAAUCACCCAUUUUUGUAUAAGAUCAAUGUCUUUUUUACACGGUUUUUUUUACACGGCUUCUUCUGGAACCAAUCUACCGUGUAAAAACAGACUUAGGUGUACAUAUAAAUUAUUCAACUUUUUAUAGUUUGGGCGGAUAUGGUCGAUUUUGGGCGGUUUUUAGAAAAAAAUUGGGCUGAAAUAAAAAUUUCAAACGGCAACACUGCGUGUGAAUCAAAAAACUGAACGAAAGGGGGAAACGACAAGCGUUGCCGUAUCAAAGCGAAAUAAGUUAUUGUUCAGUGGGAAAUUUAAUACUGUUUUUAUCAACGUGGGUUGUCAGCCAUUUAGUGAGGCUAGUAUCGUCCAUGUAGAUGUAAACAAAAUAAUGGUGAUUCGUUGAUGUGUAUGUUACCCAAAAUGUCGUGGAAAGUUGGGAAAAAUGGUGGAAAAUUCACUGCCCUAUAAAAGGCACUAUGCAGAAAAGAGCGAUAGUAGUUGUGCAGUAACCGCCAUAGAGUGCCGGCUUGAUCUUCAAAGUUUCGAGAUAAAUUAAUAUUAUUUGUGCAGCCAAUUUGUGGUUGUGGCCGUUGUGUGGUGUUCUUUUAUAUUUAUUUUGUGGAAAUAAGGACCAAAAAUUUCCGAACGAAAUCACCAACAUAACUGGCCUCAAACAUCCCAAAAGUGGGGCCAGUGCAUUUGUCUUUUGCCCACUAUUUCAACUGUGGUUGUGGCAGCAACUUACUGAGAAGCCUCAUCCUUUGUACCAAGAAACGAAUAGAAAUUCCGGCAGUGUCAGCCUUUCCCACAAAUUGACAGUCACUGCAAUACCCGUGUGUUAGAUUGCGGAAAUGUAUGUGUAGGUAAUGCCAGUUGCCGCACAUUCAAGGUGGAGCACAAGAUUGUGGAAUAGGAGCAGUAUUGUUCCAGAAAGGCGAUAAUGAUGAAGAGUUCCCCAUAGCCUCUUACUCCCAGAAUCUAAACAGUUGCCAAAAGAACUACAGCGUGACUGAAAAGGAGUGUCUGACGGCCGUUAUGGCUGUGAAAAUGUUCAGACCUUAUGUAGAACUAAUGAAAUUCACAGUCAUAACGGAAAUGGCUAAUGCAUGUAAAAGACUUGAGUGGGAGACCCGCCAGAUGGAGUUUAAUGUUGCAGGGGUAUAACUUCGAAAAUGAGCAUCAAAAAGGCAAGGAUAAUGUGGUGGCAGACACGCUAUCCCGCUUUGAAGUCGUCGAGGAAUAUGAUGUGGUCGAUGACUUAUUUCGAAACAACAGAAUUUGAAAGUCCAGAAUAUAAAAAUUUAAUAGAAGAAAUACAGAAAAACCAACAUAAAUUGCCUGAUAUAAAAAUAGAAAACGGUUACAUUUUCAAACGCACAAAACCAGAAACUGAAUUGAAUUCUGUUGAACUGCCUUGCAAGCUUUGAAUCCCAGACAGAUUAACCCAUUUGUUAAUCGAAAAGGCACAUGAUGAGCUAACCUCAGCUCAUGGCGGCAUAGCUAAGAUGCUGCACCGCCUGCAAAUAUUUUAUUAUUGGCCGAAAAUGGUACAACAGGUGAAGCAGUAUAUAUAUUCAACUGCCAAACAUGUAAAGAAACGAAACCUGUCAAUAGAAAUACACGACCGACAAUAGGUUGUGAAGUCGUAACAGAACGCCCAUUUCAAAAAUCUUAUAUGGAUUUUUUAGGUAAAUAUCCACGAUCAAAAUCAGGCAAUAGUUAUGUAUUUAUAGUUGAUGAUCACUUUUCCAAAUUUGUGUUUCUAAAAGCUAUGAAAGAAGCUACCACAUCUAAUUUCGUUCAAUUUUUAGUACAAGAGAUAUGUAGAAAAUUCGGAGUUCCUGAGACCAUUCAUACAGAUUGUGGGGCCCAAUUAACAGCUAAAGGAUUCAAGGAAAUGGUUGAAAUGUUUAAGAUCAACCAUAUGCAGACAGCACCCUACUCGCCGCAGUCGAACGCCUCAGAAAGAGUAAACCAGUUCGUACUAGCCGCAAUUCGAGCUUAUUAAGAUGAUGACCAUAGGUAUUGGGAUGUUUACCUAACAGAAAUUGAAUGUGCAUUAAGAUCAUCAAUCCAUACAGCCACUGGUGUAACACCCUUUUUCGCUAUUUUCGGAUACGAAAUGUACACCAACGGCAGUGAUUAUAAACUGGCAAAGAAAUUAAAGGACCUAAAGGGAGUGACGGCAGUUUCCUGCAAAAAAAAAAAAAAAAAUCAUCCAUUAGGAUGUAAUUGUCAACCAAAAAUUGAUAUUUAACCUUAAAACAAAAUUAUAUGUAUUUCGUGUUGAAAUUGUGUUGUCUUUGUGAAUGUCCUAGAGUUUAAGUGAACUCGACUGUGAGGAUUUUUAACGCCAGGAUUUAAUUACAAUUUGUUUCACGAUUGCAGCAAAAGUUUUCUACAGAAGUUUGGGUUAAAUAAUUGGUCACCUUGGCCCAGGAAUAACCAUCUUAAGUGAGCUCUCUUAGGGUAGUCCGUUGGUAGUGAAAUUGCGUGAAUAAAAAGCAUUAGAUUCUCUAGUAAACUUUUUAGAAAGAGUUCUUGAAAAAAAUCAUAGUACUUUUCUCGCUAAACUGGUGUUAGAUAUUCUAUAAAAAGAGAGAAAUAUUAGACAUAACAGAAACAAAAUUAGUUUUAAGAAACCUUUUGUAUCAAUAAAUGUUUUUAAUGUUUAAUUAGUAACAUAAAUAUGUGUGAUCUGAAAUGGACAAUAUGCAUCCGAAUAAAAGCAGAUGCUGGUUGUGCUUCCAUUUACGAGAUCUUUUUUCGGAACAGAAGGGAAAUUGCCGUAAAGACGAAAGUCGAAAUAAAUAUUAAAAGCACGUGUUUUAUUAGUGUUCGUCUUUAACUGUUUUGAUAACCGAAAUGACAUUCUUUAACAAAAUCUAUAUAUAAUUAUUGGACACUCACCUCACAACCCAACGAAAGGAGAGCCCCUAUUUGUUGGAAAUUGUUUUGUUUAAAAGUGUUUUUGUUUUGUGACUAGUUUUUUAUAACCUAUAACCUAACUAGAUAACAUUUUUGUAACAUUUAAUUUUGUUUCUUUUUAUUAUUUUUUUACAACCCAACGAAAGGAGAGCCCCUAUUUGUUGGAAAUUGUUUUGUUUAAAAGUGUUUUUGUUUUGUGACUAGUUUUUUAUAACCUAUAACCUAACUAGAUAACAUUUUUGUAACAUUUAAUUUUGUUUCUUUUUAUUAUUUUUUAUUAAAACAAUUUUAUUGGUGAUUGUAAAAGAAUUCAAAGUUUUCAUUCAAUUAUUGGUGGAAUCAAAAGGCAUUUACCAAUGAGUGAAGAAAACUUAUUUGAAACUAAACGUAGAAGCCAAAGGAACAGCACUUUGUCAUUUGAUGUUAGCAGAUUAUCGGGGCAAACAUUGCCGAAAUAUAGGAAAAGGGAUAAGAUUGGCAAUAUGGUAAAUCCACCUCCUCUUAUUAAUCCAUCCAUACUUGAUAUGUCUCAGACUAUCAGCGCAACUUCUAACCCCAAUUGUAAUACUUCUAAUAUGCUCCCUAAUGGUAAGUCAACUAGUUCUUUUCAUAGUUCCACGCCAGCUAAUGACGAUAUAAACAAUGUUUUGAGGGAAAUGGUAGAUGCCAAUGCACAAAUAAAUUUAAGGCAACUAGUGCAGGAAUGUAUAUGUAUGGAGAUGAAAAAAGUAUAUGAAGCCAUUUGUAAAUUAGGAGACAUAGUAAAGAAUUUGAAUAUUGGCACGAACGCUCCGAGCAAUCAACCUAACAACGCCUCUUUUUCGUUUCCAAAUCCACCUCCCAUAAUCGAACCCAACAGACAUCCAGAGAUGCAAUCGGAAUAAUAGGAUGUUUGCAACUCCCGGUCCCAAUUUGGAUAGACCAAGUAGAAAUUCAAGCUGAAAUUUGAUGGCAAUCCGUCUAGCAUGUCUGUUGGAUACUUUGUGUUUCGACUCGAAUACCUAAAGAACCAAUACAAGGUGUCAUGGGAAGAAAUCUUUGCCGAGUUCCAGUCUACUCGCUGGAGUGGUACUGGUUACAAAUCGACGGUACAGUACGACUCGAUCGAAUUUUGAAGUCAUGAGCUAGAUAGUCUACAGAAAAUUAAAACCAGGAGAAGAUAUCGAUAAUUUUUCCAAUCCAUAAAUACUUUGAGAUCCAGGUUAAUUCAACCCAUAUAGUGGGGAGAGCUUAUUCAGAUCGUAGAAAGAAAUUUAAAGGGAGAAACACUAGUUCUAUGGAACAGCUCAGGAUGGAGUGUAUCUUAGCAGAAAAGACAUGCUCAAAACGUGAAACAAGAUUCAUGCCUUCUCCUCCGAACCGACACGUUAGGGUAAACGAGCUAAAUACCGAUAUUAAUGAUUAUAAAAUAAAUUACUAUGAGGAUGAUCAAGUUCAGGAUGUGUCAUAACUAAAAACCGAUCCAAUCUGUUGAAACUGUAGAAAAACAGGUCAUAGGUUUAUGGACCGUUUAUCCUCACAAAGAUCGUUGUUUUGCUACCGAUGUGGUCAACCCAAUACCGUGGCACCAAAGUGCCCUAGGUGCAAGUCGGAAAACUUAUGCCCGGAUCUUGAGCAAUCAUUGUAUUUAGGAAUAGAUUCCUGGAAAGCGUGCCACUUAGCUCCAGACGUAUUAGAAGUAAAUGAACUCGACAUUGCAAAGAUUCAAGCCAAAUAUGCAGAUGAUAAUGAAUUUAAAAAGAAAAACAUAAUCUUAGUGCCGAUCAAGAGGAAAAACUUAAUCGAGUGAUGAAGAAAUUUCCUGCUUUUGAAAAAAUGGGUCUUGGUCACACCACACUUGAAUAACACACUAUUAAGAUAGUGGAGGGUACAAAUCCUAUUAAGGAUAAACAUUACCCCAUUUCACCAGCUAUGCAACAAAUUGUUUAUGAAGAAUUGGAUAAGAUGAUAGGGCUGAAGUAAUAGAAGAGAGUGAAAGUGCGUGGAACAAUAGGACGACCAUCGCUAGGAAACCCGGAAAGAACCCAUUUUUUGGUUUUUUUUGUUUGGAUGCGCGUAAGUUAAAUGCCGUAACCAUUAAAGACGCGUAUCCAUUACAAAAUAUCGACGGGAUACUAAGUAGAAUUGAUCAGACGGUAUUCAUAAGUAGCGUAGAAUUAAAACAUGCCUUUUGGCAGAUAGAGCUGGAUGAAGAGUCGUGGCCAUAUACGGUUUUUACGGUCCCUGGUCGUCCGCUCUAUCAAUUCAGAAUGAUACCAUUCGGCUUGUGUAAUACCGCACAACGUCUAUGCCGACUUAUGGAUAAGGUCAUACCGGCCCGACUUAAAUCAAACGUAUUCAUAUAUUUGGAUGACUUACUGGUUAUAUCAGAAGAUUUCGAAACUCAUUUGAAAUUAUUAGAACAUGUAGCGGAGUGUCUCAGAAGUGCGAAUCUGACGAUAGGCCUCACCAAGAGUAUGUUCUGUUUUAAAGAGUUGAGGUACUUAGGUUUUAUAAUCGGAGGCGGGGUCCUAAAAACCGAUCCUGACAAAAUACGGUUAGAAAUCUAAAAAUUUCAAGAAGCCCUAGGGAUAUGAGAAGCUUUUUAGGAACAGCGGGCUGGUACCGCCGUUUUAUCAAAAGUUUUGCAAGUAUUUCCGCCCCCUUGACAGACACUUUGAAAAAAAGUAUUACAUUUACCAUAGCUCAAAAGUCAUAGAGGAGCAGUAUUAAAGAAGCUACCACAUCUAAUUUCGUUCAAUUUUUAGUACAAGAGAUAUGUAGAAAAUUCGGAGUUCCUGAGACCAUUCAUACAGAUUGUGGGGCCCAAUUAACAGCUAAAGGAUUCAAGGAAAUGGUUGAAAUGUUUAAGAUCAACCAUAUGCAGACAGCACCCUACUCGCCGCAGUCGAACGCCUCAGAAAGAGUAAACCAGUUCGUACUAGCCGCAAUUCGAGCUUAUUAAGAUGAUGACCAUAGGUAUUGGGAUGUUUACCUAACAGAAAUUGAAUGUGCAUUAAGAUCAUCAAUCCAUACAGCCACUGGUGUAACACCCUUUUUCGCUCUUUUCGGAUACGAAAUGUACACCAACGGCAGUGAUUAUAAACUGGCAAAGAAAUUAAAGGACCUAAAGGGAGUGACGGCAGUUUCCUGCAAAAAAAAAAAAAAAUCAUCCAUUAGGAUGUAAUUGUCAACCAAAAAUUGAUAUUUAACCUUAAAACAAAAUUAUAUGUAUUUCGUGUUGAAAUUGUGUUGUCUUUGUGAAUGUCCUAGAGUUUAAGUGAACUCGACUGUGAGGAUUUUUAACGCCAGGAUUUAAUUACAAUUUGUUUCACGAUUGCAGCAAAAGUUUUCUACAGAAGUUUGGGUUAAAUAAUUGGUCACCUUGGCCCAGGAAUAACCAUCUUAAGUGAGCUCUCUUAGGGUAGUCCGUUGGUAGUGAAAUUGCGUGAAUAAAAAGCAUUAGAUUCUCUAGUAAACUUUUUAGAAAGAGUUCUUGAAAAAAAUCAUAGUACUUUUCUCGCUAAACUGGUGUUAGAUAUUCUAUAAAAAGAGAGAAAUAUUAGACAUAACAGAAACAAAAUUAGUUUUAAGAAACCUUUUGUAUCAAUAAAUGUUUUUAAUGUUUAAUUAGUAACAUAAAUAUGUGUGAUCUGAAAUGGACAAUAUGCAUCCGAAUAAAAGCAGAUGCUGGUUGUGCUUCCAUUUACGAGAUCUUUUUUCGGAACAGAAGGGAAAUUGCCGUAAAGACGAAAGUCGAAAUAAAUAUUAAAAGCACGUGUUUUAUUAGUGUUCGUCUUUAACUGUUUUGAUAACCGAAAUGACAUUCUUUAACAAAAUCUAUAUAUAAUUAUUGGACACUCACCUCACAACCCAACGAAAGGAGAGCCCCUAUUUGUUGGAAAUUGUUUUGUUUAAAAGUGUUUUUGUUUUGUGACUAGUUUUUUAUAACCUAUAACCUAACUAGAUAACAUUUUUGUAACAUUUAAUUUUGUUUCUUUUUAUUAUUUUUUUACAACCCAACGAAAGGAGAGCCCCUAUUUGUUGGAAAUUGUUUUGUUUAAAAGUGUUUUUGUUUUGUGACUAGUUUUUUAUAACCUAUAACCUAACUAGAUAACAUUUUUGUAACAUUUAAUUUUGUUUCUUUUUAUUAUUUUUUAUUAAAACAAUUUUAUUGGUGAUUGUAAAAGAAUUCAAAGUUUUCAUUCAAUUAUUGGUGGAAUCAAAAGGCAUUUUCCAAUGAGUGAAGAAAACUUAUUUGAAACUAAACGUAGAAGCCAAAGGAACAGCACUUUGUCAUUUGAUGUUAGCAGAUUAUCGGGGCAAACAUUGCCGAAAUAUAGGAAAAGGGAUAAGAUUGGCAAUAUGGUAAAUCCACCUCCUCUUAUUAAUCCAUCCAUACUUGAUAUGUCUCAGACUAUCAGCGCAACUUCUAACCCCAAUUGUAAUACUUCUAAUAUGCUCCCUAAUGGUAAGUCAACUAGUUCUUUUCAUAGUUCCACGCCAGCUAAUGACGAUAUAAACAAUGUUUUGAGGGAAAUGGUAGAUGCCAAUGCACAAAUAAAUUUAAGGCAACUAGUGCAGGAAUGUAUAUGUAUGGAGAUGAAAAAAGUAUAUGAAGCCAUUUGUAAAUUAGGAGACAUAGUAAAGAAUUUGAAUAUUGGCACGAACGCUCCGAGCAAUCAACCUAACAACGCCUCUUUUUCGUUUCCAAAUCCACCUCCCAUAAUCGAACCCAACAGACAUCCAGAGAUGCAAUCGGAAUAAUAGGAUGUUUGCAACUCCCGGUCCCAAUUUGGAUAGACCAAGUAGAAAUUCAAGCUGAAAUUUGAUGGCAAUCCGUCUAGCAUGUCUGUUGGAUACUUUGUGUUUCGACUCGAAUACCUAAAGAACCAAUACAAGGUGUCAUGGGAAGAAAUCUUUGCCGAGUUCCAGUCUACUCGCUGGAGUGGUACUGGUUACAAAUCGACGGUACAGUACGACUCGAUCGAAUUUUGAAGUCAUGAGCUAGAUAGUCUACAGAAAAUUAAAACCAGGAGAAGAUAUCGAUAAUUUUUCCAAUCCAUAAAUACUUUGAGAUCCAGGUUAAUUCAACCCAUAUAGUGGGGAGAGCUUAUUCAGAUCGUAGAAAGAAAUUUAAAGGGAGAAACACUAGUUCUAUGGAACAGCUCAGGAUGGAGUGUAUCUUAGCAGAAAAGACAUGCUCAAAACGUGAAACAAGAUUCAUGCCUUCUCCUCCGAACCGAUACGUUAGGGUAAACGAGCUAAAUACCGAUAUUAAUGAUUAUAAAAUAAAUUACUAUGAGGAUGAUCAAGUUCAGGAUGUGUCAUAACUAAAAACCGAUCCAAUCUGUUGAAACUGUAGAAAAACAGGUCAUAGGUUUAUGGACCGUUUAUCCUCACAAAGAUCGUUGUUUUGCUACCGAUGUGGUCAACCCAAUACCGUGGCACCAAAGUGCCCUAGGUGCAAGUCGGAAAACUUAUGCCCGGAUCUUGAGCAAUCAUUGUAUUUAGGAAUAGAUUCCUGGAAAGCGUGCCACUUAGCUCCAGACGUAUUAGAAGUAAAUGAACUCGACAUUGCAAAGAUUCAAGCCAAAUAUGCAGAUGAUAAUGAAUUUAAAAAGAAAAACAUAAUCUUAGUGCCGAUCAAGAGGAAAAACUUAAUCGAGUGAUGAAGAAAUUUCCUGCUUUUGAAAAAAUGGGUCUUGGUCACACCACACUUGAAUAACACACUAUUAAGAUAGUGGAGGGUACAAAUCCUAUUAAGGAUAAACAUUACCCCAUUUCACCAGCUAUGCAACAAAUUGUUUAUGAAGAAUUGGAUAAGAUGAUAGGGCUGAAGUAAUAGAAGAGAGUGAAAGUGCGUGGAACAAUAGGACGACCAUCGCUAGGAAACCCGGGAAGAACCCAUUUUUUGGUUUUUUUUUGUUUGGAUGCGCGUAAGUUAAAUGCCGUAACCAUUAAAGACGCGUAUCCAUUACAAAAUAUCGACGGGAUACUAAGUAGAAUUGAUCAGACGGUAUUCAUAAGUAGCGUAGAAUUAAAACAUGCCUUUUGGCAGAUAGAGCUGGAUGAAGAGUCGUGGCCAUAUACGGUUUUUACGGUCCCUGGUCGUCCGCUCUAUCAAUUCAGAAUGAUACCAUUCGGCUUGUGUAAUACCGCACAACGUCUAUGCCGACUUAUGGAUAAGGUCAUACCGGCCCGACUUAAAUCAAACGUAUUCAUAUAUUUGGAUGACUUACUGGUUAUAUCAGAAGAUUUCGAAACUCAUUUGAAAUUAUUAGAACAUGUAGCGGAGUGUCUCAGAAGUGCGAAUCUGACGAUAGGCCUCACCAAGAGUAUGUUCUGUUUUAAAGAGUUGAGGUACUUAGGUUUUAUAAUCGGAGGCGGGGUCCUAAAAACCGAUCCUGACAAAAUACGGUUAGAAAUCUAAAAAUUUCAAGAAGCCCUAGGGAUAUGAGAAGCUUUUUAGGAACAGCGGGCUGGUACCGCCGUUUUAUCAAAAGUUUUGCAAGUAUUUCCGCCCCCUUGACAGACACUUUGAAAAAAAGUAUUACAUUUACCAUAGCUCAAAAGUCAUAGAGGCUUUCGAGAACUGAAAAUAGCGCUGACCACAGCUCCAGUACUUAAGCUUCCAGAUUUUUCAAAAUAAUUUUUUAUACAAUGUGAUUCUUCAGAUUGUGGAAUAGGAGCAGUAUUGUUCCAGAAAGGCGAUAAUGAUGAAGAGUUCCCCAUAGCCUCUUACUCCCAGAAGCUAAACAGUUGCCAAAAGAACUACAGCGUGACUGAAAAGGAGUGUCUGACGGCCGUUAUGGCUGUGAAAAUGUUCAGACCUUAUGUAGAACUAAUGAAAUUCACAGUCAUAACGGAAAUGGCUAAUGGAUGUAAAAGACUUGAGUGGGAGACCCGCCAGAUGGAGUUUAAUGUUGCAGGGGUAUAACUUCGAAAAUGAGCAUCAAAAAGGCAAGGAUAAUGUGGUGGCAGACACGCUAUCCCGCCUUGAAGUCGUCGAGGAAUAUGAUGUGGUCGAUGACUUAUUUCGAAACAACAGAAUUUGAAAGUCCAGAAUAUAAAAAUUUAAUAGAAGAAAUACAGAAAAACCAACAUAAAUUGCCUGAUUAAAAAAUAGAAAACGGUUACAUUUUCAAACGCACAAAACCAGAAACUGAAUUGAAUUCUGUUGAACUGCCUUGCAAGCUUUGAAUCCCAGACAGAUUAACCCAUUUGUUAAUCGAAAAGGCACAUGAUGAGCUAACCUCAGCUCAUGGCGGCAUAGCUAAGAUGCUGCACCGCCUGCAAAUAUUUUAUUAUUGGCCGAAAAUGGUACAACAGGUGAAGCAGUAUAUAUAUUCAACUGCCAAACAUGUAAAGAAACGAAACCUGUCAAUAGAAAUACACGACCGACAAUAGGUUGUGAAGUCGUAACAGAACGCUCAUUUCAAAAAUCUUAUAUGGAUUUUUUAGGUAAAUAUCCACGAUCAAAAUCAGGCAAUAGUUAUGUAUUUAUAGUUGAUGAUCACUUUUCCAAAUUUGUGUUUCUAAAAGCCAUGAAAGAAGCUACCACAUCUAAUUUCGUUCAAUUUUUAGUACAAGAGAUAUGUAGAAAAUUCGGAGUUCCUGAGACCAUUCAUACAGAUUAUGGGGCCCAAUUAACAGCUAAAGGAUUCAAGGAAAUGGUUGAAAUGUUUAAGAUCAACCAUAUGCAGACAGCACCCUACUCGCCGCAGUCGAACGCCUCAGAAAGAGUAAACCAGUUCGUACUAGCCGCAAUUCGAGCUUAUUAAGAUGAUGACCAUAGGUAUUGGGAUGUUUACCUAACACAAAUUGAAUGUGCAUUAAGAUCAUCAAUCCAUACAGCCACUGGUGUAACACUCUUUUUCGCUCUUUUCGGAUACGAAAUGUACACCAACGGCAGUGAUUAUAAACUGGCAAAGAAAUUAAAGGACCUAAAGGGAGUGACGGCAGUUUCCUGCAAAAAAAAAAAUCAUCCAUUAGGAUGUAAUUGUCAACCAAAAAUUGAUAUUUAACCUUAAAACAAAAUUCUAUGUAUUUCGUGUUGAAAUUGUGUUGUCUUUGUGAAUGUCCUAGAGUUUAAGUGAACUCGACUGUGAGGAUUUUUAACGCCAGGAUUUAAUUACAAUUUGUUUCACGAUUGCAGCAAAAGUUUUCUACAGAAGUUUGGGUUAAAUAAUUGGUCACCUUGGCCCAGGAAUAACCAUCUUAAGUGAGCUCUCUUACGGUAGUCCGUUGGUAGUGAAAUUGCGUGAAUAAAAAGCAUUAGAUUCUCUAGUAAACUUUUUAGGAAGAGUUCUUGAAAAAAAUCAUAGUACUUUUCUCGCUAAACUGGUGUUAGAUAUUCCAUAAAAAGAGAGAAAUAUUAGAAAUAACAGAAACAAAAUUAGUUUUAAGAAACCUUUUGUAUCAAUAAAUGUUUUUAAUGUUUAAUUAGUAACAUAAAUAUGUGUGAUCUGUUUGUAAGAGGGGGUUUCCCUCGAGGUAAGGUAAUGAGAUGAGUUUGUGUGUCUUGUGGGGUUUCCAGUAAAUUUAAAUAUGGAAAUUUGGAGACCAUGGAAGGGCGGGCGAAUGUGGGAAUAAAGACAUCAAUAUUCCCGUUUGUUUGUAAAUUUUUUUGUGUCGCUUCUUGUUCUCAUUUAAAAAAAAAUAAAUAAAUAUGUUCGCCCUGAGGUGUUAGACAUGGAUGGUUGAGAACCGAGACCCUGAGCCCGCGAGCAAGUCGGAUGGUUCAUUCUAGCCCCGCCACAUUGGGGAAUGUAACAGAUGGCGCCCAAUCUUAAAAAAUAUGUUCAUUUAGAACCGAGAUUAGGAUUUUUUGUGCAAUACCAACUACGUGCAAUAAAAUAGACCAUAGGGAAAGUCAUAGUAAUAAGUAUUAUAGCAAAAUUCUUAGGCCUGACUGAUAUUGAGCCAUGUUUUUUUGUUGAAAACAUGUUAAUGUGCAAUAUUAGUUUUAAGGUAAAAUAGGAUAUUUAGUAUAAUACUUCCAUAAUAUUAAAAACGGUCAAUGCAAUAACUUGUAUAACAAUGUAUGUAUUGUGAGUGACCUGUCUUUUGUGUUUUGGUUCCAUUAAGUAGCUGCAACAGUUAGAAUUUUCUACGAAGGGAAAUGGACAAUAUGCAUCCGAAAAAAAGCAGAUGCUGGUUGUGCUUCCAUUUACGAGAUCUUUUUUCGGAACAGAAGGGAAAUUGCCGUAAAGACGAAAGUCGAAAGAAAUAUUAAACGCACGUGUUUUAUUAGUGUUCGUCUUUAACUGUUUUGAUAACCGAAAUGACAUUCUUUAACAAAAUCUAUAUAUAAUUAUUAGACACACACCUCACAACCCAACGAAAGGAGAACCCCUAUUUGUUGGAAAUUGUUUUGUUUAAAAGUGUUUUUGUUUUGUGACUAGUUUUUUAUAACCUAUAACCUAACUAGAUAACAUUUUUGUAACAUUUAAUUUUGUUUCUUUUUAUUAUUUUUUAUUAAAACAAUUUUAUUGGUGAUUGUAAAAGAAUUCAAAGUUUUCAUUCAAUUAUUGGUGGAAUCAAAAGGCAUUUACCAAUGAGUGAAGAAAACUUAUUUGAAACUAAACGUAGAAGCCAAAGGAACAGCACUUUGUCAUUUGAUGUUAGCAGAUUAUCGGGGCAAACAUUGCCGAAAUAUAGGAAAAGGGAUAAGAUUGGCAAUAUGGUAAAUCCACCUCCUCUUAUUAAUCCAUCCAUACUUGAUAUGUCUCAGACUAUCAGCGCAACUUCUAACCCCAAUUGUAAUACUUCUAAUAUGCUCCCUAAUGGUAAGUCAACUAGUUCUUUUCAUAGUUCCACGCCAGCUAAUGACAAUAUAAACAAUGUUUUGAGGGAAAUGGUAGAUGCCAAUGCACAAAUAAAUUUAAGGCAACUAGUGCAGGAAUGUAUAUGUAUGGAGAUGAAAAAAGUAUAUGAAGCCAUUGGUAAAUUAGGAGACAUAGUAAAGAAUUUGAAUAUUGGCACGAACGCUUCGAGCAAUCAACCUAACAACGCCUCUUUUUCGUUUCCAAAUCCACCUCCCAUAAUCGAACCCAACAGACAUCCAGAGAUGCAAUCGGAAUAAUAGGAUGUUUGCAACUCCCGGUCCCAAUUUGGAUAGACCAAGUAGAAAUUCAAGCUGAAAUUUGAUGGCAAUCCGUCUAGCAUGUCUGUUGGAUACUUUGUGUUUCCACUCGAAUACCUAAAGAACCAAUACAAGGUGUCAUGGGAAGAAAUCUUUGCCGAGUUCCAGUCUACUCGCUGGAGUGGUACUGGUUACAAAUAGACGUUACAGUACGACUCGAUCGAAUUUUGAAGUCAUGAGCUAGAUAGUCUACAGAAAAUUAAAACCAGGAGAAGAUAUCGAUAAUUUUUCCAAUCCAUAAAUACUUUGAGAUCCAGGUCAACCCAUGUAGUGGGGAGAGCUUAUUCAGAUCGUAGAAAGAAAUUUAAAGGGAUAAAUUUUUAAGAUGAUUUACACAAUGAACAUUAGUUCUAUGGAACAGCUCAGGAUGGAGUGUAUCUUAGCAGAAAAGACAUGCACAAAACGUGAAACAAGAUUCAUGCCUCCUCCUCCGACCCGACACGUUAGGGUAAACGAGCUAAAUACCGAUAUUAAUGAUUAUAACAUAAAUUACUAUGAGGAUGAUCAAGUUCAGGAUGUGUCAUAACUAAAAACCGAUCCAAUCGGUUGAAACUGUGAAAAACAGGUCAUAGGUUUAUGGACCGUUUAUCCUCACAAAGAUCGUUGUUUUGCUACCGAUGUGGUCAACCCAAUACCGUGGCACCAAAGUGCCCUAGGUGCAAGUCGGAAAACUUAUGCCCUGAUCUUGAGCAAUCAUUGUAUUUAGGAAUAGAUUCCAGGAAAGCGUUCCACUUAGCUCCAGACGUAUUAGAAGUAAAUGAACUCGACAUUGCAAAGAUUCAAGCCAAAUAUGCAGAUGAUAAUGAAUUUAAAAAGAAAAACAUAAUCUUAGUGCCGACCAAGAGGAAAAACUUAAUCGAGUGAUGAAGAAAUUUCCUGCGUUUGAAAAAAUGGGUCUUGGUCACACCACACUUGAAUAACACACUAUUAAGAUAGUGGAGGGUACAAAUCCUAUUAAGGAUAAACAUUACCCCAUUUCACCAGCUAUGCAACAAAUUGUUUAUGAAGAAUUGGAUAAGAUGAUAGGGCUGAAGUAAUAGAAGAGAGUGAAAGUGCGUGGAACAAUAGGACGACCAUCGCUAGGAAACCCGGGAAGAACCCAUUUUCUGGUUUUUUUUUUGUUUGGAUGCGCGUAAGUUAAAUGCCGUAACCAUUAAAGACGCGUAUCCAUUACAAAAUAUCGACGGGAUACUAAGUAGAAUUGAUCAGACGGUAUUCAUAAGUAGCGUAGAAUUAAAACAUGCCUUUUGGCAGAUAGAGCUGGAUGAAGAGUCGUGGCCAUAUACGGUUUUUACGGUCCCUGGUCGUCCGCUCUAUCAAUUCAGAAUGAUACCAUUCGGCUUGUGUAAUACCGCACAACGUCUAUGCCGACUUAUGGAUAAGGUCAUACCGGCCCGACUUAAAUCAAACGUAUUCAUAUAUUUGGAUGACUUACUGGUUAUAUCAGAAGAUUUCGAAACUCAUUUGAAAUUAUUAGAACAUGUAGCGGAGUGUCUCAGAAGUGCGAAUCUGACGAUAGGCCUCACCAAGAGUUUAAAGAGUUGAGGUACUUAGGUUUUAUAAUCGGAGGGGGGUCCUAAAAACCGAUCCUGACAAAAUACGAUUAGAAAUCUAAAAAUUUCAAGAAGCCCUAGGGAUAUGAGAAGCUUUUUAGGAACAGCGGGCUGGUACCGCCGUUUUAUCAAAAGUUUUGCAAGUAUUUCCGCCCCCUUGACAGACACUUUGAAAAAAAGUUUUACAUUUACCAUAGCUCAAAAGUCAUAGAGGCUUUCGAGAACUGAAAACAGCGCUGACCACAGCUCCAGUACUUAAGCUUCCAGAUUUUUCAAAAUAAUUUUUUAUACAAUGUGAUUCUUCAGAUUGUGGAAUAGGAGCAGUAUUGUUCCAGAAAGGCGAUAAUGAUGAAGAGUUCCCCAUAGCCUCUUACUCCCAGAAGCUAAACAGUUGCCAAAAGAACUACAGCGUGACUGAAAAGGAGUGUCUGACGGCCGUUAUGGCUGUGAAAAUGUUCAGACCUUAUGUAGAACUAAUGAAAUUCACAGUCAUAACGGAAAUGGCUAAUGGAUGUAAAAGACUUGAGUGGGAGACCCGCCAGAUGGAGUUUAAUGUUGCAGGGGUAUAACUUCGAAAAUGAGCAUCAAAAAGGCAAGGAUAAUGUGGUGGCAGACACGCUAUCCCGCCUUGAAGUCGUCGAGGAAUAUGAUGUGGUCGAUGACUUAUUUCGAAACAACAGAAUUUGAAAGUCCAGAAUAUAAAAAUUUAAUAAAAGAAAUACAGAAAAACCAACAUAAAUUGCCUGAUUAAAAAAUAGAAAACGGUUACAUUUUCAAUGGUUGAAAUGUUUAAGAUCAACCAUAUGCAGACAGCACCCUACUCGCCGCAGUCGAACGCCUCAGAAAGAGUAAACCAGUUCGUACUAGCCGCAAUUCGAGCUUAUUAAGAUGAUGACCAUAGGUAUUGGGAUGUUUACCUAACACAAAUUGAAUGUGCAUUAAGAUCAUCAAUCCAUACAGCCACUGGUGUAACACCCUUUUUCGCUCUUUUCGGAUACGAAAUGUACACCAACGGCAGUGAUUAUAAACUGGCAAAGAAAUUAAAGGACCUAAAGGGAGUGACGGCAGUUUCCUGCAAAAAAAAAAAAAUCAUCCAUUAGGAUGUAAUUGUCAACCAAAAAUUGAUAUUUAACCUUAAAACAAAAUUCUAUGUAUUUCGUGUUGAAAUUGUGUUGUCUUUGUGAAUGUCCUAGAGUUUAAGUGAACUCGACUGUGAGGAUUUUUAACGCCAGGAUUUAAUUACAAUUUGUUUCACGAUUGCAGCAAAAGUUUUGUACAGAAGUUAAAAGGUUAAAUAAUUGGUCACCUUGGCCCAGGAAUAACCAUCUUAAGUGAGCUCUCUUACUGUAGUCCGUUGGUAGUGAAAUUGCGUGAAUAAAAAGCAUUAGAUUCUCUAGUAAACUUUUUAGGAAGAGCUCUUGAAAAAAAUCAUAGUACUUUUCUCGCUAAACUGGUGUUAGAUAUUCCAUAAAAAGAGAGAAAUAUUAGACAUAACAGAAACAAAAUUAGUUUUAAGAAACCUUUUGUAUCAAUAAAUGUUUUUAAUGUUUAAUUAGUAACAUAAAUAUGUGUGAUCUGUUUGUAAGAGGGGGUUUCCCUCGAGGUAAGGUAAUGAGAUGAGUUUGUGUGUCUUGUGGGGUUUCCAGUAAAUUUAAAUAUGGAAAUUUGGAGACCAUGGAAGGGCGGGCGAAUGUGGGAAUAAAGACAUCAAUAUUCCCGUUUGCUUGUAAAUUUUUUUGUGUCGCUUCUUGUUCUCAUUUAAAAAAAAAUAAAUAAAUAUGUUCGCCCUGAGGUGUUAGACAUGGAUGGUUGAGAACCGAGACCCUGAGCCCGCGAGCAAGUCGGAUGGUUCAUUCUAGCCCCGCCACAUUGGGGAAUGUAACAGAUGGCGCCCAAUCUUAAAAAAUAUGUUCAUUUAGAACCGAGAUUAGGAUUUUUUGUGCAAUACCAACUACGUGCAAUAAAAUAGACCAUAGGGAAAGUCAUAGUAAUAAGUAUUAUAGCAAUAUUCUUAGGCCUGACUGAUAUUGAGCCAUGUUUUUCUGUUGAAAACAUGUUAAUGUGCAAUAUUAGUUUUAAGGUAAAAUAGGAUAUUUAGUAUAAUACUUCCGGUCAAUGCAAUAACUUGUAUAACAAUGUAUGUAUUGUGAGUGACCUGUCUUUUGUGUUUUGGUUCCAUUAAGUAGCUGCAACAGUUAGAAUUUUCUACGAAGGGAAAUGGACAAUAUGCAUCCGAAAAAAAGCAGAUGCUGGUUGUGCUUCCAUUUACGAGAUCUUUUUUCGGAACAGAAGGGAAAUUGCCGUAAAGACGAAAGUCGAAAGAAAUAUUAAAAGCACGUGUUUUAUUAGUGUUCGUCUUUAACUGUUUUGAUAACCGAAAUGACAUUCUUUAACAAAAUCUAUAUAUAAUUAUUAGACACACACCUCACAACCCAACGAAAGGAGAACCCCUAUUUGUUGGAAAUUGUUUUGUUUAAAAGUGUUUUUGUUUUGUGACUAGUUUUUUAUAACCUAUAACCUAACUAGAUAACAUUUUUGUAACAUUUAAUUUUGUUUCUUUUUAUUAUUUUUUAUUAAAACAAUUUUAUUGGUGAUUGUAAAAGAAUUCAAAGUUUUCAUUCAAUUAUUGGUGGAAUCAAAAGGCAUUUACCAAUGAGUGAAGAAAACUUAUUUGAAACUAAACGUAGAAGCCAAAGGAACAGCACUUUGUCAUUUGAUGUUAGCAGAUUAUCGGGGCAAACAUUGCCGAAAUAUAGGAAAAGGGAUAAGAUUGGCAAUAUGGUAAAUCCACCUCCUCUUAUUAAUCCAUCCAUACUUGAUAUGUCUCAGACUAUCAGCGCAACUUCUAACCCCAAUUGUAAUACUUCUAAUAUGCUCCCUAAUGGUAAGUCAACUAGUUCUUUUCAUAGUUCUACGCCAGCUAAUGACAAUAUAAACAAUGUUUUGAGGGAAAUGGUAGAUGCCAAUGCACAAAUAAAUUUAAGGCAACUAGUGCAGGAAUGUAUAUGUAUGGAGAUGAAAAAAGUAUAUGAAGCCAUUGGUAAAUUAGGAGACAUAGUAAAGAAUUUGAAUAUUGGCACGAACGCUCCGAGCAAUCAACCUAACAACGCCUCUUUUUCGUUUCCAAAUCCACCUCCCAUAAUCGAACCCAACAGACAUCCAGAGAUGCAAUCGAAAUAAUAGGAUGUUUGCAACUCCCGGUCCCAAUUUGGAUAGACCAAGUAGAAAUUAAAGCUGAAAUUUGAUGGCAAUCCGUCUAGCAUGUCUGUUGGAUACUUUGUGUUUCGACUCGAAUACCUAAAGAACCAAUACAAGGUGUCAUGGGAAGAAAUCUUUGCCGAGUUCCAGUCUACUCGCUGGAGUGGUACUGGUUACAAAUCGACGGUACAGUACGACUCGAUCGAAUUUUGAAGUCAUGAGCUAGAUAGUCUACAGAAAAUUAAAACCAGGAGAAGGUAUCGAUAAUUUUUCCAAUCCAUAAAUACUUUGAGAUCCAGGUCAACCCAUGUAGUGGGGAGAGCUUAUUCAGAUCGUAGAAAGAAAUUUAAAGGGAGAAAUUUUUAAGAUGAUUUACACAAUGAACAUUAGUUCUAUGGAACAGCUCAGGAUGGAGUGUAUCUUAGCAGAAAAGACAUGCACAAAACGUGAAACAAGAUUCAUGCCUCCUCCUCCGACCCGACACGUUAGGGUAAACGAGCUAAAUACCGAUAUUAAUGAUUAUAACAUAAAUUACUAUGAGGAUGAUCAAGUUCAGGAUGUGUCAUAACUAAAAACCGAUCCAAUCGGUUGAAACUGUGAAAAACAGGUCAUAGGUUUAUGGACCGUUUAUCCUCACAAAGAUCGUUGUUUUGCUACCGAUGUGGUCAACCCAAUACCGUGGCACCAAAGUGCCCUAGGUGCAAGUCGGAAAACUUAUGCCCGGAUCUUGAGCAAUCAUUGUAUUUAGGAAUAGAUUCCUGGAAAGCGUUCCACUUAGCUCCAGAUGUAUUAGAAGUAAAUGAACUCGACAUUGCAAAGAUUCAAGCCAAAUAUGCAGAUGAUAAUGAAUUUAAAAAGAAAAACAUAAUCUUAGUGCCGAUCAAGAGGAAAAACUUAAUCGAGUGAUGAAGAAAUUUCCUGCGUUUGAAAAAAUGGGUCUUGGUCACACCACACUUGAAUAACACACUAUUAAGAUAGUGGAGGGUACAAAUCCUAUUAAGGAUAAACAUUACCCCAUUUCACCAGCUAUGCAACAAAUUGUUUAUGAAGAAUUGGAUAAGAUGAUAGGGCUGAAGUAAUAGAAGAGAGUGAAAGUGCGUGGAACAAUAGGACGACCAUCGCUAGGAAACCCGGGAAAAACCCAUUUUUUGUUUUUUUUUUUUGUUUGGAUGCGCGUAAGUUAAAUGCCGUAACCAUUAAAGACGCGUAUCCAUUACAAAAUAUCAACGGGAUACUAAGUAGAAUUGAUCAGACGGUAUUCAUAAGUAGCGUAGAAUUAAAACAUGCCUUUUGGCAGAUAGAGCUGGAUGAAGAGUCGUGGCCAUAUACGGUUUUUACGGUCCCUGGUCGUCCGCUCUAUCAAUUCAGAAUGAUACCAUUCGGCUUGUGUAAUACCGCACAACGUCUAUGCCGACUUAUGGAUAAGGUCAUACCGGCCCGACUUAAAUCAAACGUAUUCAUAUAUUUGGAUGACUUACUGGUUAUAUCAGAAGAUUUCGAAACUCAUUUGAAAUUAUUAGAACAUGUAGCGGAGUGUCUCAGAAGUGCGAAUCUGACGAUAGGCCUCACCAAGAGUAUGUUCUGUUUUAAAGAGUUGAGGUACUUAGGUUUUAUAAUCGGAGGCGGGGUCCUAAAUACCGAUCCUGACAAAAUACGGUUAGAAAUCUAAAAAUUUCAAGAAGCCCUAGGGAUAUGAGAAGCUUUUUAGGAACAGCGGGCUGGUACCGCCGUUUUAUCAAAAGUUUUGCAAGUAUUUCCGCCCCCUUGACAGACGCUUUGAAAAAAAGUAUUACAUUUACCAUAGCUCAAAAGUCAUAGAGGCUUUCGAGAACUGAAAAUAGCGCUGACCACAGCUCCACUACUUAAGCUUCCAGAUUUUUCAAAAUAAUUUUUUAUACAAUGUGAUUCUUCAGAUUGUGGAAUAGGAGCAGUAUUGUUCCAGAAAGGCGAUAAUGAUGAAGAGUUCCCCAUAGCCUCUUACUCCCAGAAGCUAAACAGUUGCCAAAAGAACUACAGCGUGACUGAAAAGGAGUGUCUGACGGCCGUUAUGGCUGUGAAAAUGUUCAGACCUUAUGUAGAACUAAUGAAAUUCACAGUCAUAACGGAAAUGGCUAAUGGAUGUAAAAGACUUGAGUGGGAGACCCGCCAGAUGGAGUUUAAUGUUGCAGGGGUAUAACUUCGAAAAUGAGCAUCAAAAAGGCAAGGAUAAUGUGGUGGCAGACACGCUAUCCCGCCUUGAAGUCGUCGAGGAAUAUGAUGUGGUCGAUGACUUAUUUCGAAACAACAGAAUUUGAAAGUCCAGAAUAUAAAAAUUUAAUAGAAGAAAUACAGAAAAACCAACAUAAAUUGCCUGAUUAAAAAAUAGAAAACGGUUACAUUUUCAAACGCACAAAACCAGAAACUGAAUUGAAUUCUGUUGAACUGCCUUGCAAGCUUUGAAUCCCAGACAGAUUAACCCAUUUGUUAAUCGAAAAGGCACAUGAUGAGCUAACCUCAGCUCAUGGCGGCAUAGCUAAGAUGCUGCACCGCCUGCAAAUAUUUUAUUAUUGGCCGAAAAUGGUAUAACAGGUGAAGCAGUAUAUAUAUUCAACUGCCAAACAUGUAAAGAAACGAAACCUGUCAAUAGAAAUACACGACCGACAAUAGGUUGUGAAGUCGUAACAGAACGCCCAUUUCAAAAAUCUUAUAUGGAUUUUUUAGGUAAAUAUCCACGAUCAAAAUCAGGCAAUAGUUAUGUAUUUAUAGUUGAUGAUCACUUUUCCAAAUUUGUGUUUCUAAAAGCCAUGAAAGAAGCUACCACAUCUAAUUUCGUUCAAUUUUUAGUACAAGAGAUAUGUAGAAAAUUCGGAGUUCCCGAGACCAUUCAUACAGAUUAUGGGGCCCAAUUAACAGCUAAAGGAUUCAAGGAAAUGGUUGAAAUGUCUAAGAUCAA